rnacentral:lncRNA from 1 species
AUGUGCAUCAGUUUUGGAAAAUUAAUACUUGCUACUUUGUUAUAUUUUGCCUCUCCUCCAUUCUCUCAAAUCUCUUUUUUCAAACUCUUAUUGAACAUAUGUAAGACCUUCUAUUUUUAUCUUCUAUAUCUUUCAACGUUGAUAUCCCAUUUCAUUUCAUCAUCUCUGCAACAUUCUAGAUAGAUUUUUCAGAUUAUUUUUUCAACUCACGAACUUUCUUUAAUUUUGUUUAAUCUGUUAUUUUUACCCAUCAAGUUGUUUUGAAUUACAACACUUACAAUUGUUUAUUUCUAGAAGUUCAGCUUUUUAAAAUUACCAUAUUUGCUUGUCUUUUGUUGUUUGUUCAUCUUUUAAUUGCAUCCUUUAUUUUGUUAAAUGUUUCAAACUUAGCAGUUCAUAGAGGUUCAAAUGUAUUGUUUAUUCUGUCUAUUGACUGUCCUUCACAUGGCCUACUUUCUAGUGUAUUUACUAAUUUCUGUAUAUGAACUCAUGGCUUGAUAUUUUUCUGUGAAAGUCCUACAGCCUUAACUUGGGGAAACAUUCCUCCAGAGAAAGUUUUCUUCUGCCCCUGCUGGUGAUCGGUGGGCACUUAUAACCCAGAUCUACUUCAGUCUUCCAGAAGAGUUUAACCAAAGACCCAGGUUCAACUUUCUCUCACUAAUAUUUCCAGUGCUUACUAUCUUCAUAACAGUGUUUCUAUAGUAACACAGCCUCAAAGUUAUCAGAAUUCAUCCCUCCAGCCUACCUGCAGGAUCUGGUACACCCCCUACUGCUCUGACACCCAGCUGCUCCAGCCCUCCUAUUGUUCUGGCCCAUUCCCUCACAUCUGCAGCCUUGAUCGCAGCCACCUAUGCUCAGCCCAACCCCACUGGAGGCUACUGGCUGCCCUGAACCAAACAUAAGGGUGCUCAGCUGUCUUUUAAAAUUCAACUUAAACAUCAUUUCUAAGAGGCCUCUGAUGACAAUGUCUUACUUAUGCCCCUACUUACCCCAAUUGGAUGUGAGACUGACUCCCUCCUUGCUCCUAGCUUAGAAACCUUGGCAUAGUGCCUUCCUGGAAAUCCUGGAUUGCAUCUAAAACCAUGUGGCAGAGGGAGAAACAACAGACAGGACAUCCUGAGAAGACUCAGGCUGGGACGAAAGCUCUGCUCUCCAGGGACAAAGCAGCAGGGGACCAGCCAUGCUCAGAAAUACUCCACUGGCCAGUGCACAUUUUUUUGAGCAAUUUCACUUGCUUCCUCACCACCUGUCCCCCUAACACUUCUAUUAAAGUGGCAAAUAAAUCUGAUACCCAAUUUCAACUGCACUUUCUUUCCAAAAUAUAUAUAACACUAAUACA